rnacentral:rRNA from 1 species
GGUAGUCCACCCCGUAAACGUUGGGAACUAGUUGUGGGGACCAUUCCACGGUUUCCGUGACGCAGCUAACGCAUUAAGUUCCCCGCCUGGGGAGUACGGCCGCAAGGCUAAAACUCAAAGGAAUUGACGGGGACCCGCACAAGCGGCGGAGCAUGCGGAUUAAUUCGAUGCAACGCGAAGAACCUUACCAAGGCUUGACAUAUACGAGAACGGGCCAGAAAUGGUCAACUCUUUGGACACUCGUAAACAGGUGGUGCAUGGUUGUCGUCAGCUCGUGUCGUGAGAUGUUGGGUUAAGUCCCGCAACGAGCGCAACCCUCGUUCUAUGUUGCCAGCACGUAAUGGUGGGAACUCAUGGGAUACUGCCGGGGUCAACUCGGAGGAAGGUGGGGAUGACGUCAAAUCAUCAUGCCCCUUAUGUCUUGGGCUUCACGCAUGCUACAAUGGCCGGUACAAAGGGCUGCAAUACCGUGAGGUGGAGCGAAUCCCAAAAAGCCGGUCCCAGUUCGGAUUGAGGUCUGCAACCCGACCUCAUGAAGUCGGAGUCGCUAGUAAUCGCAGAUCAGCAACGCUGCGGUGAAUACGUUCCCGGGUCUUGUACACACCGCCCGUCAAGUCAUGAAAGUCGGUAACACCUGAAGCCGGUGGCCCAACCCUUGUGGAGGGAGCCGUCGAAGGUGGGAUCGGUAAUUAGGACUAAGUCGUAACAAGGUAGCCGUACCGGAAGGUGC